rnacentral:rRNA from 1 species
ACGCUCGACACCUACGGGGGGCAGCAGUGAGGAAUAUUGGUCAAUGGGCGCAGGCCUGAACCAGCCAAGUAGCGUGAAGGAUGACUGCCCUAUGGGUUGUAAACUUCUUUUAUAUGGGAAUAAAGUUUUCCACGUGUGGAAUUUUGUAUGUACCAUAUGAAUAAGGAUCGGCUAACUCCGUGCUAGCAGCCGCGGUAAUCUGAGCGGGCUGGCAAGGC